rnacentral:lncRNA from 1 species
UUGGAUUAUUUUCUAUUUACAAAUCUAAUUUGCUACAAUAUUUGAAGUAAGAUCUUCUAUAUUAUAACAAAUUCUUCACUAUUUUUACCUAUUAGUCAUAUUACAUCAUGACAUCGUUCACAACAAUCUCUACUACAAUGGAGCCAGUUGCAAUUGCAAGUAUCAUAUCAUUGUCUCUCUAUCAAAUUUUUGGUACUCAAAUUACU